UCCUUAGGACCUUUUCUUCUUGACAAAAAUAGUAAAGGUCAUGAGCUCUCAGGAAAUCAACUGUGCCAUUCAUAACCCUUGGUAUUGGAAUAAAGAAAUAAAUGAUAUAAACACUCUGACAUCCAGGAACCAGAAGAACAGGGAAGUCCAGAUGCUCCAGCUCUUGAUUCCCAUAUGUGGAAGGCUCAGAUCAAGUCUAUUUCUUCAUCAAUACCACUCAACCCCUACCAAGGGCUCUCUGAGCUUUUCCAAAUACCACUUAUUUUUUUUCUUUUUUUUAAUACUAAGACAGAAGGCCAGCUUACUUCUGCCCAUUUCUGAUCUCUUCAUCCUGUUUGUUCUCACUCCCACAUGGCUGUUUACUCUGAAUUAGUGGCCAAUUAGUAAACCAGAGAGGUACUGAAGAAAUAUCGGAGAGGCAGUUCCUGUCAGGACAAUACUUGUUACAUCACAGAAGAAGCUAGGGAUCUCCAGGAUACAAAAGAUUUUUCAGGGAGGCCUAAUGAUGAUGUCACUGAGAACUGCCAUGUCCUUAGCUGCUGAGCAGCGUUCCUUUCAUUGACCAGAUUCGAGGGUGUCCUUUCCAGGAGAGUCUCCUAUUGCACAGUUGAAACCUUUACAUACUCCAUCUCUCUAAACCUAGAGACUUCUCUCUGCUUCACUAGUAGUUAAAAGCUCUGAAUGGAGAAAGUUAGUCAGGGUCUUGGCAUGGGUAGAAAACAUUUAGGAACAUGGAAUAUAGGAGAUCUUCUAGAUAAUGCUUAUAUCCCCAGGUUCAUACCUGUGACUCAGUUCAACAUUCUAAGUAUUCUGUUUCCCAAAGGCCAGUAUUUUCCCUACAGACGUUUAAUUGAAUUAAUAUUGUAUUUCAAUUUCUUAUUGAAAAUUCGUUGAUAGGGGACUUUGAAAAUAUUCCUCAAUGUGUACUCAAAAAUUCUGUUUUCCAAUUCCAUUUUCUGCAAAGGUUUUGGCAACAAAGGAGGCCCAACUAUAGAGUAAGCAUAACACUGUAAAUACUGUAUACCUAAUUCAAAUUAUAAAUUCCCAAAUCCUUAUUUUAACAAAAAAUUACCAGAUAUCAGAAAAGCAAAGCACAACAUGGACUAUUGAAUUCGGUUCUCUAGUCCCAUUUGAUAUCAGUUCUGCAAUAUCUACCUUCCUGAGUUUCAUUCCCAUACUUGAGGGUUUUGAGUAUUUUACCAUGAUUAGUUAUUAAGGCCAAACAUAAGAUAUAGGAGGCUGGGCAUCUAGAGGAAUGACUUGAGGACCAGUGACGCCUCAAUUUCAGAAGUUUCAAAAAAGAGUAUGGAGUCUAUUUGGUGUUGCCAUUUGUGGAUUCUACAGUCUUGACCUAGAUAUGCAGAACCCAUGUCAAAAUUCCAGCUAAACUCAGAGCUGUAGGAGCCACCAAAAGUACAUACAUAUACAUCAGCCACCAAAACUAGACAAGAUUGAUGAAGGUAAGUGCAUUCUUCCAGGAAUCAGAUAUAGAUAUUUCCUGAGAGACACAACUAGAUUAUGCCAAAUACAGAAGUGAAUGCUAGUGGCAAACCAGUGAACUGAAAAUGGACUUCUUGUUUGUAGAUUUUCAGGAAAGAUUACAAGAGCUGAAGGGGCUUUAACACCAUAAGAACGACAAUGCUAAUGAACCAGAGCUUUCUGAUACUAGACCUAUGUUCAAGAAUGUACAUGGACAGAGUUAUGGCUCCAACUGCAUAUGUGGAAGAGGAUGGACUUGGACCUUUUUCUUCUGGGCAAAAAAAAAAUAAAAGCCAUCAGCUCUAAGGAAAAGAACAGUGCCCUUCGCAACGCCUGGUUUUUGGGAUAAAGAUAUUAAUGAUAUAAACUCUCUAACAGGAACCACUUGAAGCAGGGAAGUCCAGAAGCUUCUGACACGCUCCGAGCUCCGAGCUCCUGAUCCCAUGUGUGGAAGGCUCAGAUCAAUUCUAUCUCUUCAAGACAGGAGGGUAGCAUUAUUGUCCUCUGCAAGACUCAACAGAGCAGCCGACUGACACACGUGCACAGACAUACGGCCAAAUAUUGAAUGGAGCUCAGUGAGUCUCACUGAAGGGCUGA